UGAAAGGGUUGUGCUGAGUAAUUAA
rnacentral:piRNA from 1 species